UACGUAGGGUGCAAGCGUUAAUCGGAAUUACUGGGCGUAAAGCGUGCGCAGGCGGUUUUGUAAGUCUGUCGUGAAAUCCCCGGGCUCAACCUGGGAAUUGCGAUGGAGACUGCAAGGCUAGGAUCUGGCAGAGGGGGGUAGAAUUCCACGUGUAGCAGUGAAAUGCGUAGAUAUCAGGAGGAAUACCGAUGGCGAAGGCAGGUCUCUGGGCUGACACUGACGCUCAUGCACGAAAGCGUGGGGAGCAAACAGG
rnacentral:rRNA from 1 species